rnacentral:rRNA from 1 species
AUUGAGCGCUGGCGGCAUGCUUUACACAUGCAAGUCGAACGGUAACAGGCCGCAAGGUGCUGACGAGUGGCGAACGGGUGAGUAAUGCAUCGGAACGUGCCCAGUCGUGGGGGAUAACGCAGCGAAAGCUGUGCUAAUACCGCAUACGAUCUAUGGAUGAAAGCGGGGGACCGUAAGGCCUCGCGCGAUUGGAGCGGCCGAUGUCAGAUUAGGUAGUUGGUGGGGUAAAGGCUCACCAAGCCAACGAUCUGUAGCUGGUCUGAGAGGACGACCAGCCACACUGGGACUGAGACACGGCCCAGACUCCUACGGGAGGCAGCAGUGGGGAAUUUUGGACAAUGGGCGCAAGCCUGAUCCAGCAAUGCCGCGUGCAGGAAGAAGGCCUUCGGGUUGUAAACUGCUUUUGUAUGGAACGAAAAGGUUUGGGUUAAUACCCUGGGCCGAUGACGGUACCGUAAGAAUAAGCACCGGCUAACUACGUGCCAGCAGCCGCAGUAA